UACGUAGGGUGCAAGCGUUAUCCGGAAUUAUUGGGCGUAAAGAGCUCGUAGGCGGUUUGUCGCGUCUGCUGUGAAAACUGGGGGCUCAACCCCCAGCCUGCAGUGGGUACGGGCAGACUAGAGUGCGGUAGGGGAGAUUGGAAUUCCUGGUGUAGCGGUGGAAUGCGCAGAUAUCAGGAGGAACACCGAUGGCGAAGGCAGAUCUCUGGGCCGAUACUGACGCUGAGGUGCGAAAGCGUGGGGAGCAAACAGG
rnacentral:rRNA from 1 species